GAGCCCAGCGCUGAAUCCUCUGGCGUCUUAAUGGCGUCAGGAGGAAUUGUAGCGUUAAGGAGGGUUCAAUACGCAUCAAAGCAGCCAGCGUGAAAUGUCUCUGGAAAGAGCUCCCACAGAGGGUGAUAGGCCCGUAACGCUUUGGCAACGCUGAGGUGCGUGGACCUCUCCCUAGAGUCGAGCUGCCUGGUAUUACAGCUCAAAGUAGGUGGUAAACUCCAUCUAAGGCUAAAUACUUACACGAGACCGAUAGCGAACAAGUACCAUGUGGGAAAGUUGAAAAGAACUUUGCAAAGAGAGUUCAAGAGUACGUGAAACCGUCCAGGGGUAAACGGGCGAGAUCCUAUGAUGGUUCCCGGCCGGGUCCUGUCCUGCCGAGUUCCGGACGCCGCUCUCUUGUGAGACGACCUGUCCGGCGUCUGCGGUUGCUUCGGGUUGUCUCUUCGGAGGCUUCUUCGGGCGCCGUAGUUCGUCCGGCUGGCCGAUCGAGCAUUUGAUGCCGGUGGUUCCUCGGGGCGAGGUUUUUAGGGAUUGGCGGUUCCCCGAGCCAAUGGGACGGUCGUGACCACUUCGUGGUACCGCCAUGGCCCGGUGUGGUUGUUCGGUUGAGUCGCUAGUUCGGAAGCAGCGGACGAAACAAGUCCUCGCGGUCUGUGCAACUUAGGUGGUGCCGCGCGAGGCAAAAGGGCUUAGGAAUUGACGAAAUUAUUCGUCUCGCUUGCUCUCCGUGCGAACGGCUCAAUCGUGCCCCCGGUGUCCAGGAGGUCCGUGGAGUGCAGAUAGUGGUGGCAGUGAGCGAACAAGAUUCGCGUCCCCUUAAUCCGGGACGGACGUAAAGUCACUUACUGCCCCGUCCACGACAUAUUCAAUGUUCUGGCAUCUCUCCCGGCCCGUCUUGAAACACGGACCAAGGAGUCCAAAUUGUGCGCGAGUCUAAAGGUAACCAAACCUGAAGGCGAAAUGAAAGUGAAUGAAGCCCGGAGUCUUUGACUCCGAGGUCUUCAAAGGGAAGACGGUGCGAUAAUAUCCUCCAGCAUUCCCAGGGCGCCCCGGAACUGGCCGGGGUGCACCUAGAGCGUACAAUAUGGUACCCGAAAGAUGGUGAUCUAUACUUGACCGGGACGAAGUCGGGGGAAACCCCGGUGGAGGUCCUAAGCGAUUCUGACGUGCAAAUCGAUCGCAAGAGUUAAGCAUAGGGGCGAAAGACCAAUCGAACCAUCUAGUAGCUGGUUCCCUCCGAAGUUUCCCUCAGGAUAGCUGGCACUCAAAAGGGAAUCUCAUCUGGUAAAGCCAAUGACUAGAGGCAUUGGGGCCGAAUCGGCCUUGACCUAUUAUCAAACUGUAAAUGGGUGAAAUCUCAAAUAAUGUUAGCCUACCCAACACAGACACACAGUGUCUCGAGGCUAGAGCAACAUUACCUGAAACCAGGCAAAUGAGAUCAGAGUGCCCAGUGGGCCGUUUCUGGUAAGCAGAACUGGUGCUGCGGGAUGAACCGAACGCGGAGUUAAGGCGCCUAAGUGGGAGCUGAACUUGUCCCCUUAAAGGGGGCCGGUCGCUAGGGACAGCAGGUCGGUGGUCCUGGAAGUCGACAUCCGCUAAGGAGUGUGUAACAACUCACCUGCCGAAGUGACUGAUGUUGAAAAUGGAUGGCGCUAGAGCUUCCCGCCUAUACUCCGCCGUCGGCGGCAGUGAUCGCGGCGUUCCUUUUUCUAUAAAUUGGGCGCCACGCUGAAGCCCCGACGAGUAGGAGGGUCGCCGCGGUGGCGUAGAAGGGUGAGGCGUGAGCCGACCUGGAGCCUCCGUGGGUGCAGAUCUUGGUGGUAGUAGCAAUUACUCUAAAGAGACACCUGGAGGGCGGCGGAGAUGGGUUUCGUGACAACAGCAGUUGGACACGAGUUAAUCGAUCCUAAGCAGCGAGGGAAACCUCUUUCACUGUGAGUCCCCUAAAAAGGACAAUGAACAUAUUAAUGCUGCGAAAGGGAAUCAGGUCAAUAUUCCUGAAUCUGGUGGCGGCAGACGCAGAUCAAAAAGCGCCCUCGUUGGAGCAACUUUUUAGUUUGCUCAUCUCCUGGCAACAGGAAUCAACCCGGGGACGCCGCAGGGAGGCCAAGGAAGAGUUAUCUUUUCUUGUUAAGUGCUUGUGGACCCUGCAAGUCUUUCUAUGAGAGAUUGGGUAUGAAGCACGAAAGAGCGCCGCAGCUGUGUGGUGUCUUGGUUCUCCUUCUGGCCCUUGAAAACCCGGGUGAGGUGCAAUGCGUGCUGUUCGCACGUGGUCGUACCAGAUCCGCAUCAGGCCUCCAUGGUGCAAAGCCUCUUGUCGAUAGAUUAAUGUGGGUAAGGGAAGUCGGCAAGUUUGAUCCGUAACUUAGGGAGAAGGAUUGGCUCUGAGGAGCUCGAUCCGUCGGGCCUGGUCGUGCAGCGGUCAAUCUCCCUGGAUCGUUGGGCUCCCGUCUAUUAGGCGAACCGACGUGCGGUUUUUAACCGUUGCGUUUAGUAGUCG
rnacentral:rRNA from 1 species